rnacentral:lncRNA from 1 species
UGCAAAGGUGAUCAGAACGCUCUGAAAUCCGAAUACUGGUAUUUUUUGAUAUUGUUCAACGCGAAUCGAACUGAAAAAUGAAGACUUGUGCUCUACUCGUUGUUUUGGUGCUGGCUGCAGUGGUUGUUCACGAGACAAAUGCUCGCGUUGCUGAUGCCGUGUCCUCCCUGGCCGCUACCUGUACAUGCUGUGGUAAUACCUGCUCCGGCGUCUCCUGUACCUGCAGUGGGUGUGACUGCGUCGCCAGUGACAAAUUGACUAGGGCACUUAACUAUAGAAGGGUUUAAAGGAUUCCAGGUUUGAAACAAGUCGUCACCGUGCAAGAUAGCAAGACUCAACCUUGGAAUACUGCAUUAACAGAAUGAUUGUGCUCACUUCAACCGGUUGUAUUAAACGAUAAUUAAGAAAUUGUGCGAAAAUUAUAAUUCAAAACAAGAAAGAGAUUCUAAUAAAAUACAUUUAUAUAAA